CUUGACACCCAUAAGAGGUCCAGCCUGCCCAGUGACUCUGUUCAACGGCCGCGGUAUCCUAACCGUGCGAAGGUAGCGUAAUCACUUGUUCUUUAAAUGAGGACUAGUAUGAAUGGCACCACGAAGGUUAUACUGUCUCCUUUUUCUAAUCAGUGAAACUAAUCUUCCCGUGAAGAAGCGGGAAUAAAAAUAUAAGACGAGAAGACCCUAUGGAGCUUUAAACAAACAUACAACUGCCUUCUUUUAUGAAUAUUUCAGAAGAAAACCUUUAUUUAGGCAUUUUGAUAUAGAGUUUUAGGUUGGGGUGACCACGGAGUAAAAACCAACCUCCGCAAUGAAAGGGACUCUUCCCCUAAGCUAAGGGCUACAACCCUAAGAAUCAAAAAAUUGACACCAAUUGACCCAAUAUAUUUGAUCAAUGAAC
rnacentral:rRNA from 1 species